rnacentral:rRNA from 1 species
CCUACGGGGGGCAGCAGUGGGGAAUAUUGGACAAUGGGCGCAAGCCUGAUCCAGCCAUGCCGCGUGAGUGAUGAAGGCCUUAGGGUUGUAAAGCUCUUUCGCCAGGGACGAUAAUGACGGUACCUGGAUAAGAAGCCCCGGCUAACUUCGUGCCAGCAGCCGCGGUAAUACGAAGGGGGCUAGCGUUGUUCGGAUUUACUGGGCGUAAAGCGCACGUAGGCGGAUCUUUAAGUCAGGGGUGAAAUCCCGAGGCUCAACCUCGGAACUGCCUUUGAUACUG